GGGGGGGGGUGGUGGUGGGGCAAUGGGGCUGCAGGCAUUGUCUGGGUGAGCCUCCACAAGGAAGCCCUGAAGUCCCUCCUGGCUCAAAGCAGCCCCAAAGAGAGCUGGGAGGUCUGCAAAGUCCAUGCUGGCAUUGUGGUCCGAGAUCGCUCGAAUGAGCCCCCGGCUGGGGGCCGCUCCCCACAGCACAGUGACCACAACCACAGGAAGCGGGAAGGCCGCAGGGUGCAUGGCAGCGGGAGGAGAGGCGGAGGGGGCCGAGUCCGGGUAACAGGAACAGAACCGGAGUUCUGCGCCCUCUCUGGCCCUCCUUCAGGAUCCCAGGGGUCCAACCACCCCCAGGUCCCACUUCCCAGCUACAUGGGGGCUCGGGGAAGGACCUCCGACUCGGGGAGUGAGGUACCCAACUAGUCUAUUGGAGCUGGGAGGGAGAGACUAAAAAUAAUCCUUUUCUGGUAUAGUAAUAAAACUGGGAAAGGGAACGGAGACCAGCACAGGUGACAGAAAAACUUCUGGAAGGGUGGAGCUCAAAGGGGCGGGACUUCCGGCCAGGUGGGCCGUCUUCCCAUCCCCUGGAAAAGAGUUUCCGGCAAAGAAAGUCAGGCCGCUUCCAGCAUUGGACGCUCACGACUAAGGACAUCCGGUUCUGUCCUCCUGGCCGCCGCGGUACCUUCAAGUCUUCGCGAGAGGCCUCAGCACCUUUCCCCCCCACCAGCUGACAUCUUCCUCAACUCUACCUUGGCUCCAGCUCAGGCUAACACUAUUAGGAAGUGAAUUCCAUCCUGAUUCAACCCCUGCUGCUGCUGCUGCUAAGUCGCUUCAGUCGUGUCCGACUCUGUGCGACCCCAUAGACGGCAGCCCACCAGGCUCCCCCGUCCCUGGGAUUCUCCAGGUUGUAAAUGUCUGCAGGAAUGACCUCUGCAUUUUCAAGUGCCCUGUGUCCAUGCUUUUCAUAAUAGCUGAAUAAAUAUUUGAUGCAUGAUCAAACUUUGUUAACAGCUACUUCAUUUCCAGAAGAAGAACGAAUGUGAGUUGCCAGGAAAAUGUUUGCAUUUUGUCCUGGGAACAUAAAGAAGAAACCUCAUUAACCAUGCAGCGGAGAAGGAUUAGUAUCUAAAUACCUGUGUUUAAUAGAGAUGCUAGCAUUUAGUAAGUAUUAAAU
ensembl:lncRNA